rnacentral:ncRNA from 1 species
AAUGGCAGAGGUGCGGCUUCCAUGAGUAGGCUCGCUUCGGCGUCGGGAAACGCUGGGCUGAAAGGGGACGUCGCCGAAGGCGCGCAUCGGUUCCCGCCGACGCGUCGCCUGGGGCUCAGGAGAACAUCCUGGGCACUGUCGCACAAGCGGAGAGCUGUC